rnacentral:rRNA from 1 species
UACGUAGGGGCCUAGCGUUGUCCGGAUUUAUUGGGCGUAAAGAGCUCGUAGGCGGUUCGGCAAGUCGGAUGUGAAAUCUCCACGCUUAACGUGGAGGGGCCAUUCGAAACUGCCGUGACUCGAGUCCGGUAGGGGAGAAUGGAAUUCCCGGUGUAGCGGUGAAAUGCGCAGAUAUCGGGAGGAACACCGGUGGCGAAGGCGGUUCUCUGGGCCUGACCUGACGCUGAGGAGAGAAGGCGUGGGGAGCGAACAGG